UACGAACCGUACAAACGUUAUUCGGAAUCACUGGGCUUAAAGGGUGCGUAGGCGGCCAUGUAAGUGGGGUGUGAAAUCCCACGGCUCACCCGUGGAACUGCAGGGCAUACUGUCGUGCUUGAGGCAGGUAGGGGCCACUGGAACUCUCGGUGGAACGGUGAAAUGUGUAGAUAUCGAGAGGAACGCCCGCGGCGAAAGCGGGUGGCUGGGCCUGUCCUGACGCUGAUACGCGAAAGCGUGGGGAGCAAACGGG
rnacentral:rRNA from 1 species